AUUAUAGCAUCUGUGCUCGUGUAAGGUACAGAUGCUACUAUGCUCAUCACUAUCACUACUAUUUCUACUACCAUCAUGGGUACCACUGCACUCACUACUGGCAUACCUACCACUGCAGGCGAUGCCAGCACUACUGAGAAGCAGCAACGCCCAGGGAUCACAGUGCUGGAGUUUACCUGACAACAGACCUGCAAGCAAAGCUUAAACACACCAGCAACCUUCUUUUGUAGCAUGGCUGUAACCUUUCUGUUGUGGUCCCUCUCCCCAAACACAGCUACAGCACCCAUACUUAUUUCUAUCAGGCCGUUCACAGUUUGUUUAAAACAGCUGCUCUCUGUUGUGCAUUUGGUCAAUCUCUUCAAGGAUAUAUAAUAGAGACAACAUUAUUUUUCUAUUGGGUGAUUCCCUGCCUCUCAUGAAGCAGGUCUUUACAUUGUAUGGAAAGGUGUCCUUAUUUAACAUGUAGUCUCAGAUUCUCAGUGAGAUCACAUGCUCACACAUGUUUGAAUAGAAGCACAGCUGCACAUGGGCACAUAUACAAAGCGUUACUUGGAGAGCGUGCUUGAUUGUUUUGCCCCAGCUCAUAAUCACUGCACCGGGUCAGGUUUGACCAGUACGCUCCUUUCUUCUCCCAGCUCCUCACAGCCACCCUGUGAUGUCACAAGUGUCCAGUGACAGGCCUUGUUCACAGACUGACAAAAAUAUCUUGUUUAUAUAGAGACUUUCUUAAUCUCUCAAUUAUUUUAAAAUCUCUUUAUUUGCAUUCAUGACAACAAAUGCUCAAACUGUUGACCAGUAUAAAUGCUGUCCUGCCAAAAAAACAACUGUCUGCUGUUACAUGAAACUGGGAAAAAGCCUCUCUCUUGCUGUAAAGCUUUUUCAGCAAUAAAGCUAUUAGCAUCAA